rnacentral:rRNA from 1 species
CGACCUUAGUUGCCAGCAUUCAGUUGGGCGACUCUAGCGAGACUGCCGGUAAUAAACCGGAGGAAGGUGGGGAUGACGUCAAAUCAUCAUGCCCCUUAUGACCUGGGCUACACACGUGCUACAAUGGUUGGUACAACGAGUUGCGAGUCGGUGACGGCGAGCUAAUCUCUUAAAGCCAAUCUCAGUUCGGAUUGCAGGCUGCAACUCGCCUGCAUGAAGCCGGAAUCGCUAGUAAUCGCAGAUCAGCAUGCCGCGGUGAAUACGUUCCCGGGCCUU